ACGUCGGGAUUUUAAAUAGUCCCCCUUUAUAGUGAUAUAAAGGUUCUCUUUUUAAGAGAAUAAGGAGCCAGAACGCCCGCGUUGUAAACAACGCGGGGCGUUCAGGUUAACCCUGCUUAUUUUAUAAGUGAGUUCCGAAAAAUUGGGUGAAUUGCCAAGGACGCUAAGUUAAAAGCUACUCGACUCGCUUAGCGAGUCGAGUAUUAAGCCUUUAAUACGCCAACUUGCAGCCAAGUCUAACGAAUUUUCGAAAAGGUAGUUAGAAAGGUUCAACGACUAGGGCUUGAGUACGAAAUAUCAAUAACAGCCCCACGAGCGCCCAACAACUUAGGAUUCUGUACGAAAAGUACUCGCCCGCUGCUUUGCCGCGGGCGAAGCAUAAGUUGAAGACAUAGUCUGAACUGUAAAGAAAUUUACAG
rnacentral:ncRNA from 1 species